AUUGAACGCUGGCGGCAUGCCUUACACAUGCAAGUCGAACGGCAGCACGGGAGCAAUCCUGGUGGCGAGUGGCGAACGGGUGAGUAAAGUAUCGGAACGUGCCCAGUCGUGGGGGAUAACGUAGCGAAAGUUACGCUAAUACCGCAUACGAUCUAUGGAUGAAAGCGGGGGAUCGCAAGACCUCGCGCGAUUGGAGCGGCCGAUAUCAGAUUAGGUAGUUGGUGGGGUAAAGGCUCACCAAGCCGACGAUCUGUAGCUGGUCUGAGAGGACGACCAGCCACACUGGGACUGAGACACGGCCCAGACUCCUACGGGAGGCAGCAGUGGGGAAUUUUGGACAAUGGGCGAAAGCCUGAUCCAGCCAUGCCGCGUGCGGGAUGAAGGCCUUCGGGUUGUAAACUGCUUUUGUACGGAACGAAAAGGUUUGGCCUAAUAAGCUGAGCUCAUGACGGUACCGUAAGAAUAUGCACCGGCUAACUACGUACCAGCAGCCGCCGUAA
rnacentral:rRNA from 1 species